rnacentral:rRNA from 1 species
AAUCAACGCUGGCGGCGUGCCUCAGACAUGCAAGUCGAACGAUUAAGACUCUCUUCGGAGAGUGCAUAAAGUGGCGCACGGGUGAGUAACACGUAAGUAAUCUACCCUCGAGUGGGGAAUAACGUCCGGAAACGGACGCUAAUACCGCAUAAUGCAGCGGCACCGCAAGGUGACAGUUGUUAAAGAUUUAUCGCUUGAGGAGGAGCUUGCGGCAGAUUAGCUAGUUGGUAAGGUAAUGGCUUACCAAGGCUACGAUCUGUAACCGGUCUAAGAGGACGGUCGGUCACACUGACACUGAAUAACGGGUCAGACUCCUACGGGAGGCAGCAGUCGGGAAUUUGGGCAAUGGGCGAAAGCCUGACCCAGCAACGCCGCGUGAAGGAUGAAGUUCCUCUGGAUUGUAAACUUCUUUUAUGUGGAAGAAAUGCAUUCUUUAUAGAGUGUUUGACGGUACCAUAGGAAUAAGCACCGGCUAACUCCGUGCCAGCA